UAAAGAAGAGGUGAAGGAAAAGAACAGCCUCCACAGAAAGGCAGCAGCUGAAGAUUCAUCUAGAAAGACUUAUACUGCAACUCUCACUGCUUGAAGCAAGGCUGCUUGUGGACUGAACAUUAAAUUACCAAAGGAGAAGAUUGAAGAUAUUGAUGCUGGAGAUGUGUACAAUGAGUUGGCAGUUGUGGAGUAUGCAGAAGACAUUUACAAGUUUUACAAGGAAGCUGAGAGUACAAGGUGCAUUCCUAUAACUUUAAUGGCUUAAGUGCAUUGGGUUUUAUGGAUGAUCUCCUACCUGGUUCGAAAUCCUUUUUCACUGCUAA